rnacentral:rRNA from 1 species
GACGAACGCUGGCGGCGUGCUUAACACAUGCAAGUCGAACGGAAAGGCCCUGCUUUUGUGGGGUGCUCGAGUGGCGAACGGGGGAGUAACACGUGAGUAACCUGCCCUUGACUUUGGGAGAACUUCAGGAAACUGGGGCUAAUACCGGAUAGGAGCUCCUGCUGCAUGGUGGGGGUUGGAAAGUUUCGGCGGUUGUGGAUGGACUCGCGGCUUAUCAGCUUGUUGGUGGGGUAGUGGCUUACCAAGGCUUUGACGGGUAGCCGGCCUGAGAGGGUGACCGGCCACAUUGGGACUGAGGUACGGCCCAGACUCCUACGGGAGGCAGAAGUGGGGAAUAUUGCACAAUGGGCGGAAGCCUGAUGCAGCAACGCCGCGUGCGGGAUGACGGCCUUCGGGUUGUAAACCGCUUUCGCAUGUGACGAAGCGUGAGUGACGGUAAUGGGUAAAGAAGCACCGGCUAACUACGUG